UACGUAGGGUGCGAGCGUUGUCCGGAAUCACUGGGCGUAAAGGGCGCGUAGGCGGCGCGGAUAGUCGGCGGUGAAAGCCCGGAGCUCAACUCCGGGUCGGCCGUCGAUACUUCCGGGCUUGAGCACUGUAGAGGCAGAUGGAAUUCCGGGUGUAGCGGUGGAAUGCGUAGAGAUCCGGAAGAACACCGGUGGCGAAGGCGGUCUGCUGGGCAGUUGCCGAAAGGCUUGAAAGCUGACGCUGAGGCGCGGACAGCGUGGG
rnacentral:rRNA from 1 species